UACGUAGGGUGCAAGCGUUGUCCGGAAUUAUUGGGCGUAAAGAGCUCGUAGGCGGUCUGUCGCGUCUGCUGUGAAAACUCAGGGCUUAACCCUGAGCUUGCAGUGGGUACGGGCAGACUAGAGUGCGGUAGGGGAGACUGGAAUUCCUGGUGUAGCGGUGAAAUGCGCAGAUAUCAGGAGGAACACCGGUGGCGAAGGCGGGUCUCUGGGCCGUAACU
rnacentral:rRNA from 1 species